UGUCAUCAGAAGAAAGUAGGGCAAAAAGUAGUUGUAGAUCAUUUUCAAACUUAAGGCAGCAAUUGUCAACAUCUUUGUAAGGUGAUAGCUGGAUAUGUUGAAAAGUUACUAUUCUAAGAAUGAAAGGCAAGGAAUCAUACGUGUCCUUAUUCAUCCUCUUUUCUAUCAGGCAUGACAAGGAUGGCCACUUCAUAGGUUAUGUGUCCUCGUGGGGCAAAGCAAUAACAAGCUAAUAGCAGAUCCUAAGGCAUUAUGUGGCAUCCAUCAUUACUGCAGAUAUCACAUCACUGUCAAAAUAAUACUCUCUUCUUCAAAUUGUAUUGCAGAGUGACCUUUUAUCUGUCAUUUGAGUUGGAAGCAACUGUUGUGAACUUGGUUUCUGGAGCGAAGCCUGCAGAUGUAUAUUCAGAAAUAGCAGCUAGGUUUGCAAGAGGUGACUUGAUGGUGAUGAGUUUAUCAUAUCAUCAAUGACAAAAGUUGCAAAUUGCUUUAAAGGAUGCACAAUUUUACUUAAGAAAGGCUAUAGGUUGGCAGAUCUCAUGAAUCAUAAUUUUGGUAUUCGAAAGGCGGAUGUUUGGGGAUGAAGCCCUUGGUUCUAUGGACAUAGAGGUGGCUAGAAAGGUGGGAGCUGCAUCAAAAUUUACUAAGAGAUGGAGCUGUGAUUGCUUUCUGUCCAGAUGGAUGAAGCUUCUUGAAGAUGCUUGCCAUAAGGCAGGAUUUAUUGUUCAGCCAGAAGUAGUCCCUUCUUUUCUAUAUGAUGUUGAUCUCAAGACUCUCCACCAAAUGACUAGUUGUAUAUUUAUAGAGAACUCUGGUGUUGAUGGUGUCUUUUUCAUGCUUGUCUUAUUUACUAGAGUCGGCCAUUCGUUUUUGACAUCCAUGUUUUUCUAUUUAUUUAAUAGUAAUAAAUUAUCUUGUUCUUCACAUCAAUCAUUGUUGUAUUUCUUUUCAAUGAUCAUCUCCUUAAAUUAAUUUGCUGAAUUAGUGAAUUCCUGUAUCUAUUUGAGAUGCUGAUUUUGGUUGUUGGCCUACAUGA